rnacentral:rRNA from 1 species
CCGCACAAGCGGUGGAGUAUGUGGUUUAAUUCGACGCAACGCGCAGACCUUUACUGGUCUUGACAUCCCGAGAAUUUUCUGGAAACAGAGAAGUGCCUCGCAAGAGGAAUUCGGAGACAGGUGCUGCAUGGCUGUCGUCAGCUCGUGUCGUGAGAUGUUGGGUUAAGUCCCGCAACGAGCGCAACCCUUUGUCUUUAGUUGCCAUCAUUAAGUUGGGCACUCUAAAGAGACUGCCGGUGUCAAACCGGAGGAAGGUGGGGAUGACGUCAAGUCCUCAUGGCCUUUAUGACCAGGGCUACACACGUACUACAAUGGCAGGUACAAAGGGCAGCCACUUAGCGAUAAGGCGCGAAUCCCGUAAAACCUGUCUCAGUCCGGAUUGGAGUCUGCAACUCGACUCCAUGAAGUUGGAAUCGCUAGUAAUCGCAGAUCAGCACGCUGCGGUCGAAUACGUUCCCGGGCCUU